CAAAUAGUCUAAGAUUCCGAACCAAGAUGAAGUCACCCAAGGCAGGCAAAGGGACUUUGCAGAUGUGAUCAAGGACCUUGAAAGGGGAGAAUGUCCUGGAUUAAUCCAUGUGGGGCCAAUCUAACACAUAAGCGCUUCAAGUCAGAUAUCCUCUCCCAGCCGUGGGCAGAGGGAGGCAUGAGCACGAAAGAAUGGUCCGAGAGAUGCCAUACUGUUGCUUUGAGGAUGGAGGAAGCGGGUAUGAGCCAAGGGAUGUGGCAACUGGAAAAGACAGCUCUCAAAGUGGCAUAGAGAAAUGCAGCCCUACCAACACCUUAAUUCUAACCCAGGAUCACAUUUCCAACCGAUGGAAUGGUAACAUAAUACAUUUGUGUUGGUUUCAGCCACUCGCCUUGAUACCACCAGUGAGCAAAGGCACCGCCCACGUGGGCUGUCGGGCUGAAGGGAAACACAGAAAACCUGGGAAAGAAAAGUGAAAAUGAACAGAAGAAAGGAAGAAACUUCAAAAGCCGUAAUUUCAGGACAAUAAAGUACUCACAUUAAUAUAGAGUACCACGAGGUUGCUUGGGCUGCACUGGGUCAUCUUGGAUCGGACCACACUCCGAGACAGCUGCUGAUUUCCUGCAGUCACGCCAGCAUUAACCUUCACAAACAGGACCAUGCACGUACAGAACAAUCAUAAAACCACAACGUCACUGAGCCUUACGUUUGUUGUUGAAUUAUUGCUUUGCUCACCUAUCAGUAUCAUGUCCAUUUCAUAGGUGAAAUAACGGAGAUAGAGAGAUUAAGGUACAUCUCCAAGUUUGCACAGCUAGCAGGAGGUGAGCCCCAGUUUAAAUGUUGGCCUGCGGGCUUAAUCUCUGGGCAUUCUGCCUCCCAGUGAAAACGCUAUAAAAUGACGAACGAGCACCCAGAAAGGGUCUCAUGAGCCCGCUGAGGUCUUAAUGGAAGCCUCCAAAGUCCUAGAAUAAAACAAAGACGUCUCAGGGUGCCUGGGUGGUUCAGUUGGUUAAGCGUCCGACUUCGGCUCAGGUCAUGAU